UCUGGCGGCAGUUGCGCGGUGGUCCCACCUGACCCCAUGCCGAACUCAGAAGUGAAACGCCGUAGCGC
rnacentral:rRNA from 2 species